rnacentral:rRNA from 1 species
GAUGAACGCUGGCGGCGUGCCUAAUACAUGCAAGUCGAGCGGAAAGGCCCUUCGGGGUACUCGAGCGGCGAACGGGCGAGUAACACGUGAGUAAACGGCCCCAGACCUUGGGAUAACGCUAGCACCCCGGGACUAAUAUCGGAUCCCCAUAAGACCCGGAUGGGGUCUGUGUGGAAAGUUAAUCGGCUUGGGAUCGGCGCGCGGCCUAUCAGCUUGUUGGUGGGGUGCUGGCCUACCAAGGCGACGACGGGUAGCCGGCCGGGGAUGGGGACCGGCCACACUGGGCCUGAGACACGGCCCAGACUCCUACGGGAGGCAGCGGUGGGGAAUAUUACACAAUGGGCGGAAGCCUGAUGCAACGACGCCGCGUGAGGGAGGACGGCCCUCGUGUUGUAAACCUCUUUCAGCAGGGACGAAGCGUAAGUGACGGUACCUGCAGAAGAAGCGCCGGCCAACUACGUG